rnacentral:rRNA from 1 species
UGGGGAAUUUUGGACAAUGGGGGAAACCCUGAUCCAGCCAUCCCGCGUGUGCGAUGAAGGCCUUCGGGUUGUAAAGCACUUUUGGCAGGAAAGAAACGUCGCGGGUUAAUACCCCGCGAAACUGACGGUACCUGCAGAAUAAGCACCGGCUAACUACGUGCCAGCAGCCGCGGUAAUACGUAGGGUGCAAGCGUUAAUCGGAAUUACUGGGCGUAAAGCGUGCGCAGGCGGUUCGGAAAGAAAAGAUGUGAAAUCCCAGAGCUUAACUUUGGAACUGCAUUUUUAACUACCGGGCUAGAGUGUGUCAGAGGGAGGUGGAAUUCCGCGUGUAGCAGUGAAAUGCGUAGAUAUGCGGAGGAACACCGAUGGCGAAGGCAGCCUCCUGGGAUAACACUGACGCUCAUGCACGAAAGCGUGGGGAGCAAAACAGGAUUAGAUACCCUGGUAGUCCACGCCCUAAACGAUGUCAAACUAGCUGUUGGGGCCUUUCGGGCCUUGGUAGCGCAGCUAACGCGUAAGUUGACCGCCUGGGGAGUACGGUCGCAAGAUUAAAAACUCAAA